rnacentral:rRNA from 1 species
GACGAACGCUGGCGGCGUGCCUAACACAUGCAAGUCGAGCGGAGUCGAUCGACGGAAGCCUUCGGGCGGAAGAUGGUUGACUUAGCGGCGGAUGGGUGAGUAACGCGUGGGCAACCUGCCUCGAAGACCGGGAUAACAGCCCGAAAGGGCUGCUAAUACCGGAUGUGGUCAAGGAUCCGCAUGGAUUUUUGAUUAAAGGGGAAACCCGUUUCGAGAUGGGCCCGCGUCCUAUCAGCUAGUUGGUGAGGUAAAAGCUCACCAAGGCGACGACGGGUAGCCGGCCUGAGAGGGUGACCGGCCACACUGGAACUGAGACACGGUCCAGACUCCUACGGGGGCAGCAGUGGGGAAUCUUCCACAAUGGGCGAAAGCCUGAUGGAGCGACGCCGCGUGAGCGAAGAAGGCCUUCGGGUUGUAAGCUCUGUCUGGAGGGACGAAGGAAGUGACGGUACCUCCGGAGGAAGCCACGGCUAACUACGUGCCAGCAGCCGCGGUAAAGUCACGUCG